AGAGUUUGAUCAUGGCUCAGAUUGAACGCUGGCGGCAUGCCUUACACAUGCAAGUCGAGCGGCAGCGCGGGGGCAACCCUGGCGGCGAGCGGCGCACGGGUGAGUAAUGCAUCGGAACGUGUCCUCUUGUGGGGGAUAACCAGUCGAAAGACUGGCUAAUACCGCAUGAGAUCGAGAGAUGAAAGCAGGGGACCCGCAAGGGCCUUGCGCGAGAGGAGCGGCCGAUGCCCGAUUAGCUAGUUGGCGGGGUAAAAGCCCACCAAGGCGACGAUCGGUAGCUGGUCUGAGAGGACGACCAGCCACACUGGGACUGAGACACGGCCCAGACUCCUACGGGAGGCAGCAGUGGGGAAUUUUGGACAAUGGGGGCAACCCUGAUCCAGCCAUGCCGCGUGUGUGAAGAAGGCCUUCGGGUUGUAAAGCACUUUCGGACGGAACGAAAUCGCACGAUCCAACAAGUCGUGUGGAUGACGGUACCGUAAGAAGAAGCACCGGCUAACUACGUGCCAGCAGCCGCGGUAAUACGUAGGGUGCGAGCGUUAAUCGGAAUUACUGGGCGUAAAGUGUGCGCAGGCGGUUGAGCAAGUCGAGUGUGAAAGCCCCGGGCUUAACUUGGGAAUUGCGCUCGAAACUACUUGACUGGAGUGUGGCAGAGGAAGGUGGAAUUCCACGUGUAGCGGUGAAAUGCGUAGAGAUGUGGAGGAACACCAAUGGCGAAGGCAGCCUUCUGGGCCAACACUGACGCUCAUGCACGAAAGCGUGGGGAGCAAACAGGAUUAGAUACCCUAGUAGUCC
rnacentral:rRNA from 1 species